UACGUAGGGCGCAAGCGUUGUCCGGAAUUAUUGGGCGUAAAGAGCGUGUAGGCGGUCCGGUAAGUCGGCUGUGAAAGUCCAGGGCUCAACCCUGGGAUGCCGGUCGAUACUGCCGGACUAGAGUUCGGAAGAGGCGAGUGGAAUUCCCGGUGUAGCGGUGAAAUGCGCAGAUAUCGGGAAGAACACCCGUGGCGAAAGCGGCUCUCUGGGACGGUACUGACGCUGAGACGCGAAAGCGUGGGGAGCGAACAGG
rnacentral:rRNA from 1 species